rnacentral:rRNA from 1 species
GAUGAACGCUGGCGGCGUGCCUAAUACAUGCAAGUCGAGCGAACCACUUCGGUGGUGAGCGGCGAACGGGUGAGUAACACGUAGGUGAUCUGCCCAUCAGACGGGGACAACGAUUGGAAACGAUCGCUAAUACCGGAUAGGACGAAAGUUUAAAGGUGCUUCUGGCACCGCUGAUGGAUGAGCCUGCGGCGCAUUAGCUAGUUGGUAGGGUAAAGGCCUACCAAGGCGACGAUGCGUAGCCGACCUGAGAGGGUGAACGGCCACACUGGGACUGAGGAACGGCCCAGACUCCUACGGGAGGCAGCAGUAGGGAAUCUUCGGCAAUGGGCGAAAGCCUGACCGAGCAACGCCGCGUGAAUGAUGAAGGCCUUCGGGUUGUAAAAUUCUGUUAUAAGGGAAGAACGACUUUAGUAGGAAAUGGCUAGAGUGUGACGGUACCUUAUGAGAAAGCCACGGCUAACUACGUGCCAGCCGCCGCGGUAA